rnacentral:rRNA from 1 species
GAUGAACGCUGGCGGCGUGCUCAUACAUGCAAGUCGAGCGAACGGACGAGAAGCUUGCUUCUCUGAUGUUAGCGGCGGACGGGUGAGCAACACGUGGAUAACCUACCUAUAAGACUGGGAUAACUUCGGGAAACCGGAGCUAAUACCGGAUGAUAUUUUGAACCGCAUGGUUCAAAAGUGAAAGACGGUCUUGCUGUCACUUAUAGAUGGAUCCGCGCUGCAUUAGCUAGUUGGUAAGGUAACGGCUUACCAAGGCAACGAUGCAUAGCCGACCUGAGAGGGUGAUCGGCCACACUGGAACUGAGACACGGUCCAGACUCCUACGGGAGGCAGCAGUAGGGAAUCUUCCGCAAUGGGCGAAAGCCUGACGGAGCAACGCCGCGUGAGUGAUGAAGGUCUUCGGAUCGUAAAACUCUGUUAUUAGGGAAGAACAUAUGUGUAAGUAACUGUGCACAUCUUGACGGUACCUAAUCAGAAAGCCACGGCUAACUACGUG